UACGGGGGGGGCAAGCGUUGUUCGGAAUUACUGGGCGUAAAGGGCUCGUAGGUGGCCAACUAAGUCAGACGUGAAAUCCCUCGGCUUAACCGGGGAACUGCGUCUGAUACUGGUUGGCUGGAGUUUGGGAGAGGGAUGCGGAAUUCCAGGUGUAGCGGUGGAAUGCGUAGAGAUCGGGAGGAACAUCUGUGGCGAAGGCGGCAUCCUGGACCGGUAUUGACGCUGAGGCGCGAAAGCUAGGGGAGCAAACGGG
rnacentral:rRNA from 1 species